rnacentral:rRNA from 1 species
UACGUAGGGUGCAAGCGUUGUCCGGAAUUAUUGGGCGUAAAGAGCUCGUAGGCGGCUUGUUGCGUCGACUGUGAAAACCUGCGGCUCAACCGUGUGGUCUGCAGUCGAUACGGGCAGGCUGGGGUUCGGUAGGGGAGACUGGAAUUCCAGGUGUAGCGGUGAAAUGCGUAGAUAUCUGGAGGAAUACCGGUGGCGAAGGCGGCAUCCUGGACCGGCAGUUGACGCUGAGGAGCGGAAAGCCAG